rnacentral:rRNA from 1 species
GAUGAACGCUGGCGGCGUGCCUAAUACAUGCAAGUCGAGCGAAUGGAUUAAGAGCUUGCUCUUAUGAAGUUAGCGGCGGACGGGUGAGUAACACGUGGGUAACCUGCCCAUAAGACUGGGAUAACUCCGGGAAACCGGGGCUAAUACCGGAUAACAUUUUGAACCGCAUGGUUCGAAAUUGAAAGGCGGCUUCGGCUGUCACUUAUGGAUGGACCCGGGUCGCAUUAGCUAGUUGGUGAGGUAACGGCUCACCAAGGCAACGAUGCGUAGCCGACCUGAGAGGGUGAGCGGCCACACUGGGACUGAGACACGGCCCAGACUCCUACGGGAGGCAGCAGUAGGGAAUCUUCCGCAAUGGACGAAAGUCUGACGGAGCAACGCCGCGUGAGUGAUGAAGGCUUUCGGGUCGUAAAACUCUGUUGUUAGGGAAGAACAAGUGCUAGUUGACUAAGCUGGCACCUUGACGGUACCUAACCAGAAAGCCACGGCUAACUACGUGCCAGCCGCCGCCGUAA